rnacentral:lncRNA from 10 species
GUCUUUGCCUGCUGCCAUCCACGUGAUAUGUGACUUGCUGCUCCUUGCCUUCUGCCAUAAUUGUGAGGCCUCCUCAGCCACACGGAAAUGCUUAUAGGCAUAAGAGACUUGCCUUGUCUCAGAUGAAACUUUGGACUGUGGACUUUUGAGUUAAUGCUGAUAUUAGGACUCUGCUUACCCUUUGUGAAUAAGCCCAGUGAAUCUGCUGAGUGAUGAGAGAGAGAGUGGGCCAGUCACUUCAUUGCUCCAGGAUUUUCUGUUGAAUGACACUUCAUAAAAAAGACUUUGAUUGCUGAGUUACAAAGACAAUUGUAUCUUCUUGUAAAGCAUACAGUCUUGGUGGUCCUACCCCAUGAACUGGCUGUCCCAGGACGGUUUUACGGUGGUUAUGUUGAAGAUGUAAAUAUUCUCCCUGCUGUGAGUAUUACUGCAGCUGCCCAAAGAUGCUUUAUUUUAAAGAUGUGGAUACAGGAAGAUAAAAGCAUCAGAAACACUGCAUGGGGUUGUGUAAGCAGAAGCUGGAAGACCCUUGAAAAGAGCAUUCAUUCAAGAAAUGAAGCAUGAGAUAGGAUGGAAGGAGGGAAGAAAGACAAGCAUAUGGCAUAUCAGGUCUCUUCCAGUGCUAAAGGCUGCCUAUGAUACUCAUCUGACCUGAUUUCUCCUGCACAGUGUUGCAACUGACGAGUAGCAGACUUGCCCUUGCCUGCAUUUGGGGGGAUGGCUGAGACUUUCCUUACAGAAAGCCCUACUUUCAGCAU